GUAUCACAUACAGCUACUGUAGGUGUCAUGGUCAGAGAGGGUAUCACAUACAGCUACUGUAGGUGUCAUGGUCAGAGAGGGUAUCACAUACAGCUACUGUAGGUGUCAUGGUCAGAGAGGGUAUCACAUACAGCUACUGUAGGUGUCAUGACCAGAGAGGGUAUCACAUACAGCUACUGUAGGUGUCAUGGUCAGAGAGGGUAUCACAUACAGCUACUGUAGGUGUCAUGGUCAGAGAGGGUAUCACAUACAGCUACUGUAGGUGUCAUGGUCAGAGAGGGUAUCACAUACAGCUACUGUAGGUGUCAUGACCAGAGAGGGUAUCACAUACAGCUACUGUAGAUGUCAUGGUCAGAGAGGGUAUCACAUACAGCUACUGUAGGUGUCAUGGUCAGAGAGGGUACCACA